rfam:Anopheles stephensi strain SDA-500 unplaced genomic scaffold supercont1.15, whole genome shotgun sequence.
GAUAAAACGUUUACAUUUUACAUGCUGAUUGGAGCUGUUGCUCUGUUCUAGAGAAACUUUUCCAUUACUUAGAUGACUCCAUACGAGGCAUUUGUCUGAUAAUUAC